GGAAAGCCUGGAGUCAGGGUGGGGCCAAAGGAGAUAGUUGUUUUGGAUCUGGCAAAGCAAACAAAACCAGCACCACGUAUGUGCCUGUUCUCUCUUUUCUCCAGGCUUUGGUCUGUGACCGAUGCAGGGACAGGCCAGAGAUUCAGGGAGUGACCUGCCCACUCCAGAGUGCAGUGAGGACAGACCCACAACGACUUUCUUCUCCACAACAUAAAGGCACUCCAGGGGAAGCCGCUUAGUCAUCCCAUGGAGCUUCCUGGAAAUGGAGCAAACAGCAACGCCACCACAAUACCUAUGACUGCAUGACCAAAAUAGCACAGAGGGAGCACCCUGUGAGUUAACUUUUGCCAUGACAAACCCAGAACUAAGUUCUGUGAGGAUGAUCAGGGCUGCUGGCAAGGGGAGAAGGCCUCAGAGAAGCACAAGAAAGAUUUAAAGGACACACCAAAAAUAUUUUAUCCUUUUCACCUCUUUUCUUGCCUCAUGAAAUCAAGUAAAAAGGUACAGAGAAUGGUCCAGGUACCAUUUCAACCCACCCAGCAGCAAGAGUCAAGGACAGCCUUGUCAGACACCACUGCUCAAGAGAUCCAAAUCCAUGUCUAAAGAUUCUCAAAACCAGCCAGUCUGCUAGAUUCAAAGUGGAAACUCUCACAACAUGACUCAAGUGACUCAUCUGAAUGGAAGAGAUUCAAUUAUGACAUUUCCCCAGCCUCAGCCUGUGUCUUUCACAGGUAUUACAGGAGCUUUAGACAUCAUUUGCUCAACCCCACUAACAUCACAGGAGGUUACAACACAAGGAGCUCCUGUUUGCAGAGUUGCCACACUAAUAUUCCUGUUACAGGAGGCUGCUGUUUCUAAGUGCAGUGAGGCUCCAAGACUCCUGCAGCAUAAAGCCCUGCUUGUUAAGGGAGUCCACCAAAUACUCCAGAAGAAUUAGAAAUGGGGAAAAUAUUUUUUUCCAUGUUUUAAACCUACUCCCCCCAAGCAAUACUCUUUACUGCAAGGGAAUUUGCCCCUUCAGCAUGCUAUUUAUUUUUCCAAGGAGCAACAUUUCUAGUGCCACCUCUCUGGCAGGUCCCAAGGCCACACAGCAUGAGUGAGGAUUGUGGACACACUGUUGACAUUAUGAAGUUGGAUAGGCUGACAACAAACAUGCCAGGUUUGUCUGUCUCACUCUGGAUCUCAUCCUGGAGAAUGUAACUGAUGGAAGAAACAGCCCUUUACCAUCACAGAGGUAUCAAAACCAUAUUUAACUUCAAUUACCAAUUAACUAUUAGUAACUUUAUGUUGCCUGCUAUGCUAUACUGGCAGAUCCUUUGCACAAUGCAGAAUUUUGAAAAAUAAAUAAAAUUUCUGGAUUAUUACAUGUCAGCAAGAACUCAGCAGAAGCAGUUCAGAAGCAAUUCAGCAUGCAGUAAGGAUGCUGCAGGAGAUGGGGGGAGAACAUCCUUUAAAUUCUUUCCCACUUAAUCUUGCUGAAGUCCUUAAGACCAAAAUGUUGGAAGGUAAAGGUUUUGAAAUCUUAGAAAGACUGCCUUGCUGCUGACUCCUCUACACAGUACUGAAGCAGUUUGCUGCUGGGUGAAUUACAGCCUGGCUCUCUUCUCACUUGCUUUAUUUCCCUUCAUGCAGUCAGCCCUGCCCUGAGCAGCAGGAGGAACAAGAGCCAGAAGAAGAAACCCUGCUCAAGUGUCUCCCACCCUGACCAGUGAGGCCCUGCCCUCUACCUACCACAGGGAAGAACUGACUCUGUCCCAGUCCCUCAACUGCUUCUGCCUCAGUACCUGCAUUUACUCUUGAAAUAUACUCAAUUUUGUUCAAGUGUGAGGUGGAGGAAGAAGGAGUUUUCCCCAAAGACUCCAGAGAUCAAGAGGGGAUGAGCAGGCUUUUCUCAGUUGUCUUCUGGCCAUUUAGCAAGGUCGGGCAUUAACAGUGAGAACUAGCAAAGCAGUUUGGAGUCCAAAGUAGAUCAGCCCCAAAGCAAACAGGUCUGAUUUUAGAGCAGCUGUGUACAGUGAAGAAAGAGACUGAACAAAGAGCAUCUGAGUGGGUGAAGUGGGCUAAAGACUAUGACCAGGGAAGGGGUCAGGCAAACAGGCCAGGAGGAGAACAGCAGAAGGAUGUAACCUCUCCUCUAGAACAGAAUCCAGGAUGCCCACAUCUCCAACAGCAGGCAAUCUCAAGCUUCUCAAUCUUCUCCUCCACUAAAGUCCCAAUGGAGAACGCCAGCAACUAUAAUCCUUUUUUGCUGCUCACUUCUCAUUAGUGAAAGCACAUAUAAACAAAUACCAGAAAUACUGCAGCUUGCUGCUGCAAUGCUAAUCCUGCUACCUUAAAUCAGCUUCAUUCAGCAUAUGUAAGCCUGUGUGUGCUAUCUUGCCAUUUUUCCCCACAUAACCAACACAGGAUGGCCCUGCUCUUCCACAGCAAUAGGUGGGAAGUAAAAGAAACUGUGACCCCUGUUCACCUCUUAGAGAAUCUGCAAACUGGGAAGUCAACAGCCUUGGGAGUGAAAUAAAACUAAUAAAAAAUUACGGAAAAAUGUGACUCAGUCACAUAAAGGAGUCACAGAUACAGCCCAUGUUUCUGCUCCAGAGUUCCUAAAAGAUCCUGGAAUCCAUACAUACCCCAAAACAUGAGGCAAGAGACCACUCAUUUAUUGUCUGAACUGAUCACUACAGCCACACUGACAGUCAAGGCAGACACACUGAGCUCAGAGUGAUCUGCUCUUUUGACACCAUGAACAACCUGAAAUCAAGCAUUACUGGGAUGGAACCCCAGUUCAAUUCCAAGCCACCAGAAUCAAAACACUAAAAACAUGAAUAUUGUCACCUCUAUCAAGGGGGUAGUCAAUACAUUUCAUUGUAAUGGUUGAGAUUUUCUUAAUUCUGUGCAAGUUUGCCUGUGGACACUUCCACUCAUAAACCAAAAAGCCACAUUAUUUAAAGUGUUGCUAACAAGGCCUUUGAGAAAUAGCUAUAUUUAUAUUCCUUACUGCAGCCAGUACAUAAAGCAGUUUGACAGUACUGCAAAACAGACCUAUUUCUAACUACAGCACUAUGUGGGAGCAGUUGGUGAGAAAAAGCGAUCUGCUGGGGCUUUUUGGGAGGGUUACAUAUGAAAUCUAACACUUGAAAAAAGUUCCAAAGGUGGCAAAGAAUAGGGCAGGCUACUGAUAUUGCACAUUAAAUUUAACCCACACAGAAACUGAAUUUUUCUGUUGUAAGACUGAAAUACAAUUGAAAAACUGACACAGAAGGUCAGCAUAGUAUCCAAUGGGAUUAAACUGAACACAGGUCCUUUGGGAAGGUCUUUGGACAAGGCAAGCUGCAUGUUCAGCUUUCUGAUAACAGUUCAUUCAGCCUACAUCAACCGGGCUCAAGUCUGGCAUGUUUUACUAGCUUGGAAAAAUAGAGCUGUACAUUUCCAGAGCCAGCUUUAAAUCAGGAGCAGCAUAGCUGUGUUCAUCCCCAGCUAAUAAACCUCCCCAGGUCUCAGCUACCUCCACAAAUAACCAGCUCAAGCCUCUUUGUACUACAUCACCAGAACAGGGAACAGGGUCAGCUUAACUGCAUUAGGUCUUAGCAACACCAGUUGCCAGCCCCAGUGAACCCUUAAUGACUGAUUAAUUUUAUACAGUCAUUAAGAGUUAUCCAAAAGUACACAAUAGGUGUUUAAUAGGCACGGGCAUACAGUGCAUCCUCACUAAGGCACAGAGUGUUGUUCAUGCUGCCUCUGCAAUGGUGAUGGGGCAGGAGAUUCCUCAUGCAGGCUAAAUCCUGCCAGUGCAAUGUUUUGGAGGAAACCUGAAUCAGCUGUCAGCACUAGAUCCGUGCUGAGUGUCAUGUGGACACAGCACGUCUAAUCUGAGAUAUCAUGUGAAGACUCAAAGUAGGAUUCAUCCUAUCAAAUUACAGCCUUUGCCCUUGCCUUCCUCUUCAAGAAAAAUCCUGUGUGACAACACACGAUUUAUCUUCCUCUCAGAGAAGUAAACUGUUUUGGAUUCUAAUAAAUUUGCUUGAAAACAUUUUGCUGUGCUCUCC